UUGCGUACAAUCAGUCAUUUCACUUAUGAAAUGGUCAAUAACCAGAGUGAGGCCGCCAUGGAUGGCGGACUCAGGAAGCAUAGGCAUGGAUGCCGUUGCUUCCGGCUCGUCCGGUUCCACAAUAUUACCCAUUUCAUUAGUGAAAUCUGAUUGGAAGCUC
rfam:Lachnospiraceae bacterium 28-4 genomic scaffold acPFn-supercont1.3, whole genome shotgun sequence.